rnacentral:rRNA from 1 species
UACGGAGGAUGCAAGCGUUAUCCGGAUUCAUUGGGUUUAAAGGGUGCGCAGGCGGGAUGUUAAGUCGGCGGUGAAAUUUUGCAGCUCAACUGUAAAAGUGCCUUCGAAACUGGUUUCCUUGAGUGUAGAUGAAGUAGGCGGAAUUUGUGGUGUAGCGGUGAAAUGCAUAGAUAUCACGAGGAACUCCGAUUGCGCAGGCAGCUUACUAAACUACUACUGACGCUCAGGCACGAAGGCGUGGGGAUCAAACAGGAUUAGAUACCCCGGUA